GACGAACGCUGGCGGCGUGCUUAACACAUGCAAGUCGAACGCUGAAGCUCAGCUUUUGUUGGGUGGAUGAGUGGCGAACGGGUGAGUAACACGUGAGUAACCUGCCCCCUUCUUUGGGAUAACGCCCGGAAACGGGUGCUAAUACUGGAUAUUCACUGGUCUUCGCAUGGGGGCUGGUGGAAAGGGUGUUUCUGGUGGGGGAUGGGCUCGCGGCCUAUCAGCUUGUUGGUGGGGUGAUGGCCUACCAAGGCUUUGACGGGUAGCCGGCCUGAGAGGGUGACCGGUCACAUUGGGACGGAGCUACGGCCCAGACUCCUACGGGGGGCGGCAGUGGGGACUAUGGCACAAUGGGCGCAAGCCUGAUGCAGCGACGCCGCGUGAGGGAUGGGGACCUUCGGGUUGUGAACCUCUUUCGGUCAUGGUCAAGCCGCAACAAUGGUUGUGGUGAGGGUAGUGGGUAAAGAAGCGCCGGCUAACUACGUG
rnacentral:rRNA from 1 species